AAAUUGAAGAGUUUGAUCAUGGCUCAGAUUGAACGCUGGCGGCAGGCCUAACACAUGCAAGUCGAACGGUAACAGGAAGCAGCUUGCUGCUUCGCUGACGAGUGGCGGACGGGUGAGUAAUGUCUGGGAAACUGCCUGAUGGAGGGGGAUAACUACUGGAAACGGUGGCUAAUACCGCAUAACGUCGCAAGACCAAAGAGGGGGACCUUCGGGCCUCUUGCCAUCAGAUGUGCCCAGAUGGGAUUAGCUUGUUGGUGAGGUAACGGCUCACCAAGGCGACGAUCCCUAGCUGGUCUGAGAGGAUGACCAGCCACACUGGAACUGAGACACGGUCCAGACUCCUACGGGAGGCAGCAGUGGGGAAUAUUGCACAAUGGGCGCAAGCCUGAUGCAGCCAUGCCGCGUGUAUGAAGAAGGCCUUCGGGUUGUAAAGUACUUUCAGCGGGGAGGAAGGUGUUGUGGUUAAUAACCGCAGCAAUUGACGUUACCCGCAGAAGAAGCACCGGCUAACUCCGUGCCAGCAGCCGCGGUAAUACGGAGGGUGCAAGCGUUAAUCGGAAUUACUGGGCGUAAAGCGCACGCAGGCGGUCUGUCAAGUCGGAUGUGAAAUCCCCGGGCUCAACCUGGGAACUGCAUUCGAAACUGGCAGGCUUGAGUCUUGUAGAGGGGGGUAGAAUUCCAGGUGUAGCGGUGAAAUGCGUAGAGAUCUGGAGGAAUACCGGUGGCGAAGGCGGCCCCCUGGACAAAGACUGACGCUCAGGUGCGAAAGCGUGGGGAGCAAACAGGAUUAGAUACCCUGGUAGUCCACGCCGUAAACGAUGUCUACUUGGAGGUUGUGCCCUUGAGGCGUGGCUUCCGGAGCUAACGCGUUAAGUAGACCGCCUGGGGAGUACGGCCGCAAGGUUAAAACUCAAAUGAAUUGACGGGGGCCCGCACAAGCGGUGGAGCAUGUGGUUUAAUUCGAUGCAACGCGAAGAACCUUACCUGGUCUUGACAUCCACGGAAGUUUUCAGAGAUGAGAAUGUGCCUUCGGGAACCGUGAGACAGGUGCUGCAUGGCUGUCGUCAGCUCGUGUUGUGAAAUGUUGGGUUAAGUCCCGCAACGAGCGCAACCCUUAUCCUUUGUUGCCAGCGGUCCGGCCGGGAACUCAAAGGAGACUGCCAGUGAUAAACUGGAGGAAGGUGGGGAUGACGUCAAGUCAUCAUGGCC
rnacentral:rRNA from 1 species